AUCAGUUUGUAUUGCUAUAGUAUAUCUUUCGUUAAUAUUGAAUCGUGGUUAAUAAAGU
rnacentral:sRNA from 1 species